rnacentral:rRNA from 1 species
UACAGAGGUCCCAAGCGUUGUUCGGAUUCACUGGGCGUAAAGGGUGCGUAGGUGGUCGGGUAAGUCUGAUGUGAAAUCCCGCAGCUCAACUGCGGAAUGGCAUUGGAUACUAUUUGGCUAGAGGGUUGGAGGGGGGACUGGAAUUCUCGGUGUAGCAGUGAAAUGCGUAGAUAUCGAGAGGAACACCAGUGGCGAAGGCGAGUCCCUGGACAACUCCUGACGCUGAGGCACGAAAGCGUGGGGAGCAAACAGG